rnacentral:rRNA from 1 species
CCUACGGGAGGCAGCAGUGGGGAAUAUUGCACAAUGGGGGAAACCCUGAUGCAGCGACGCCGCGUGAGUGAAGAAGGAUUUCGGUACGUAAAGCUCUAUCAGCAGGGAAGAAAACGACGGUACCUGACGAAGAAGCCCCGGCCAACUACGUGCCAGCAAGCACGGUAAUACGGAGGGGGCGAGCGUUCGCCGGAAGUACUGGGUGUAAAGGGAGCGGAGACGGCAGCGCAAGUCUGGAGUGAAAUCCCAGGGCUUAACCGAGGAACUGCAUUGGAAACUGUGCAGCUGGAGUGCAGGAGGGGGAAGCGGAAUUCCUAGUGUAGCGGUGAAAUGCGUAGAUAUUAGGAGGAACACCGGUGGCGAAGGCGGCUUACUGGACUGUAACUGACGUUGAGGCUCGAAAGCGUGGGGAGCAAACAGGAUUAGAUACCCUGGUAGUC